GAUGAACGCUGACAGAAUGCUUAACACAUGCAAGUCAAUGGGGAAACGGUGCUUGCACCAUGAUAACCAUGGCGGACGGGUGAGUAACGCGUAAAGAACUUGCCUCUUAGUCUGGGAUAACAGAUGGAAACGACUGAUAAGACUAGAUAUUAUUAAAGAUUCGCAUGAAGCUUUAAUGAAAAGAGAUGCUAAGAGAGAGCUUUGCGUCCUAUUAGUUAGUUGGUGAGGUAACGGCUCGCCAAGACGAAGAUAGGUAGCCGGUCUGAGAGGAUGAACGGCCACAAGGGGACUGAGAUACGGCCCUUACUCUUACGGGAGGCAGCAGUGGGGAAUAUUGGACAAUGGAGGAGACUCUGAUCCAGCAAUUCUGUGUGCACGAAGACGGUUUUCGGAUUGUAAAGUGCUUUCAGCAGGGAAGAAGAAAGUGACGGUACCUGCAGAAGAAGCGACGGCUAAAUACGUGCCAGCAGCCGCGGUAAUACGUAUGUCGCGAGCGUUAUCCGGAAUUAUUGGGCAUAAAGGGCAUCUAGGCGGAUAUACAAGUCAGGGGUGAAAACUUAGGGCUCAACUCAAAGCUUGCCUUUGAAACUGUAUAUCUAGAGUGCUGGAGAGGUGGACGGAACUACACGAGUAGAGGUGAAAUUCGUAGAUAUGUGUAGGAAUGCCGAUGAUGAAGAUAGUCCACUGGACAGCAACUGACGCUGAAGUGCGAAAGCUAGGGGAGCAAACAGG
rnacentral:rRNA from 1 species